CUCUCAAAUCCUUUCAUGCCAAAUAGGGGAGAAACAGAAAUCCCUUAUAGAUGAAAAGUCUAACGAAUCAUGUCAUUUAUAAACCAUGCAAGCCAAUAUCAAUAAAUAUUUCUCAUGUUUACAAUAUAACAUCAUGCUUCAUUACUUCAUCUUGUCAUCAUACAAUAUAACAUGCAUUAACAUUUAUCAUAUGAAAAUUAAUCAUUAUUAUUAAACAUGUAAAUAAUGAGCUUAU
rnacentral:lncRNA from 1 species